UAGCUUUCUUCUUCCUUCUAGUUCAGUCCUUUGGCUAAUAGGAAAGGCCACGCAAAAGCUAUGGACCUGCUUCUCUGUGCUUGAUCAAAGUGCAUAGAUAGAAGACAGGGCUUCCCGGCUGGGAGGAGGGAGGAGAGCUGAAGAAUCCUGCCCGGGCUGGCUGAUCUAAGCAGUCAAAGUGGGCAGCUGAGUGCUUGAAAGAGGAUUAUACUCGCACUAGAAAUAAGCAGUAAGUGAGUGAAUAUAUGGCUUAGAAAAGGAUUAAUCCCCCUCGGGUUAUGGGGUAAACUAGAAAAUAUGGCUUAAUUCUAGAGUAAAACUGUAAGACUUUCUUCUCUUUGUACUGUGUGUGCCGUUUGGAGAGUCGGGACUUAAAGUACAAAAUCAGAACUGUAAUGCCUCCUCCCACUCUUAGGAAGGGCCAAGUUCUACUUGGAAGAGUUGGGGAUAUAAGCUCCUUCUCUGACCCAGCCUCUUCCCAGGAAAAUUUACUACUAAAUCAGAUAAGGAGGUGGUAUUAAAUUGGAGAGGUGGAAUUUGAUAUUGGCAGAAAUUGCAAUUUUGAAUAAUGUCUUGUGAGUGCUGACGUUAUUAUAUCCAUUAGCAGCGUUUGUCAAGAAAGUCUGGGGCAGGGGAUUAAAAAGAGAAAAUUGAAAGCUUUUAUGAUAAGGAGGCUGAGCAGUCCGUAUGCAAAGGAUUAAAUACAGAAAUUGUAUAAUAAACAAUAAGUGAUCUUGGAAAAAACAUGAAAUGGGAACAGGAGUCAGAGAGCAUAAAGAUACAUAGAUUGAAAAUUAGUUAGGAAAAGAAAUUCUCAUUUCAAUGGUUUUCUUGUGCUAGCCAAAAAUUUCACAAUGUUUACAAAGACAAUGAUUCAGGAAUACAUCAAUUAUUGUUGUACAUUAUUAAUACUGUUGCUGGGCAAGAUCUGUGGUUCUCUGGUCAGCAAGUUCUGGCUAUGAAGCCACCGCCGCUGGUGCAAGGAAUUCUGGGAUGUCUGACAGUGAAAUGGAUGGAAGGACUCACAUUCCAUCUCUACUUAAUGUCCUUUUGUCCAGAAAUCGGGUCAUGCAAAUGAGCUACUUGGUACGUAUACAGAUCAAUAUUUGGAAAGGCGUUUAGAAAUGUUUUGCUUUAGAGGGUCUCUGGACAAUAUCUUAUGGCAACCAAUGGACUGAAAGGAUAUAAAAACAAAGUGACAGGAAGGAAGUCAGCUUGACUGAAACCAACCUUGCUCUUUUUGUUUUCCAUCAAUCCUGAAAUGGAACCUCAAAUGAGGACAAGAGUCAAAAUAGAGAGAAAUAUUGUGGCCAUCUGUUCUGUUCUAAGUGGCUGAGUUCAUUAAUGUAUGAAUGAGAAUUUGAAUUUUAUUUGUGCAUUCUGAUACUUGAAGAUUCAGAAUUAUCUUAUUACAGUGAUAAACACAGAAAUAAGAGGUAUGUUUAUGGGGGGAGUAAAUAUGUAAAAUCUGGUUUUUGAAAUGCUAUAAAAGAAAAAUAAACAGAUAAGAAUUGUGUCCCACAGUGUAAAGAUUAAUAUCAUGGUCACUGAAGGAUAUAUUUCUUACCCUAAUGAGAUAGAUGGGAUCCUAAUAUGACACAGUAGGUUGAAGUAUACAAAAUAUUUUUAAUUAUCUCAAUUCUAGUUGAUGUAGUUACUAUUUAAAGCAAGGUUGCCAAAAACAUGAACUAUAAUUAAGUGUGUAGUGAUUUUUAUGAUCCAUUUGUUACUGGUAUGAAGAAGAAAGAUGGCAGUGGUUGUAUUCCCAUCAGCUGCUGCACUGGGGGAAAGAAAGAAUUCAAACACACCGUCAUUCUCCUGAAGUGUGCAAUUGCAAAUUGAUUGUCACAAUCUAGGUUCUUUUCCAACUUUAGAACUUAUAAUUAUAGAUUUUGCUAUGGGGGAGUUGGAUGGGAGUGGUGAUUGGGACCAAUAAUAAGAACAAGAAAAAUAACAAAAUGCCAAUAACAUGCAUUUUUUAGAUGUACUUACUCUGAACUCUUCCAACUUUUGAGCUACCUAGUUUUGAAAUUUAUUUUAUCUUUGAAAAAUUACUUGAGUUGUUUUUUCCAAUGUCAGCAUCCAUCUGAUUCAUAGACAAUAUUGAAAAUCUGAAGAUUUAUUAUCUGAUUUGUGUAAUACUUUUUUUGUUCUUAAACACAUUUAAGACAUUAAAAUAAAACAUUUAAUAGUUGAAGCCUUAAGCAUAGUAUAAUUACAAGUGAAGUUUCAAUCUUUAAGAAAAAAUGUGCUAGGAUUCUUCAAGGAAUUGCUUAUUUAUCUCAAAGUGUUGAAAUAAUUUUUUCUGACUACAAAAUACAAGGGAAGCAUAAGAAUAUUGAGAAAAUGAUUAAAGGCAUAAUUUGAAUGGGGAAGGUUAAGCAAAAAUAAUAAUGAUAAGCCAGCAGUUUAUAAACACUUGCUGUUGUAAUGAGAGAUGGACAGAGGAUGAUGCAUAUGACUAGUAAUGAGGAUAAGUAAAGACUUUUAUCUUUAAAAAAUAUUAUGUGAGAAUUAAGAUUAUUAAUGGAAAGAAACUAAAUGAUCAUUUAAAAUUAUUCUUUCACAAGAA
rnacentral:lncRNA from 1 species